rnacentral:lncRNA from 1 species
GGAAAGGAAUACCAUGGUGGAACUGCAAGAUGGCAUUAAAGUUCCUGCUUGGCAGUGCCACAAGUCACUUGGGCUUAUUUUGGACUGGCCAAAGCAAGUCAUGAGAAGCAGUAAAAUAUUGGCUGUUUCCUUUCCUCAGAAAUGGUUUAUGGAAGAUCAUAAAUAUAAAAAUAAUAGCUAAAAUUUAUUGGAAUACCAUUUACAUGCCAGGGCUUUACUAAGCAUUUACAGAUGGGAACACUUAAUUCUCACAGCAUCCCUGAGGCAUUGGCACCUCUCAUCACUUCCUCCCUUUAUAUCCUUCAAAUGUAUGAAGUGUUGCAUUGCAAAGGACUUUGCCCUCUGCUGAGACAUUUUCCCAGAUAAUCAGCAGCAAAAUCUUCAAAAAUUUGGCCUCCAUUUUGUGGAAGCAGCUAUCCAUAUGCCAUAUUCUACUGAGGAUGGAGUCUUCUUUGCCAGCAGGGAGAAACAGCCCAGCUUCAUUGGUUUGAAGAUCAUUAAGCAGACUGGUAAUUCACCUGAUGCAGACCCUUAUUCUAUUAUUCUAGGUAAGCACAAAGCUAUUAAUAUAUCUUUUUGUUUUCAUAGUUUUAACAAAUGGCCUGUGAUGCAAAGCAUAUGCCUGAGAUUGUAUAUGCUCAUGUAUUUAAGUAUACAAACACAUUAG